rnacentral:rRNA from 1 species
UGGGGAAUUUUGGACAAUGGGCGCAAGCCUGAUCCAGCCAUGCCGCGUGAGUGAAGAAGGCCUUCGGGUUGUAAAGCUCUUUCGGCGGGGACGAAAUGGUUCGUGCCAAUACCACGGACUGAUGACGGUACCUGAAGAAGAAGCACCGGCUAACUACGUGCCAGCAGCCGCGGUAAUACGUAGGGUGCAGGCGUUAAUCGGAAUUACUGGGCGUAAAGCGUGCGCAGGCGGUUUGUUAAGACAGAUGUGAAAUCCCCGGGCUUAACCUGGGAACUGCGUUUGUAACUGGCAGACUGGAGUGUGGCAGAGGGGGGUGGAAUUCCAAGUGUAGCAGUGAAAUGCGUAGAUAUUUGGAGGAACACCGAUGGCGAAGGCAGCCCCCUGGGCUAACACUGACGCUCAUGCACGAAAGCGUGGGGAGCAAACAGGAUUAGAUACCCCAGUAGUCCCUGAGCGGGCUGGCAAGGCGCAU